CAUGCAAGUCGAACGAUGAACCACCUUCGGGUGGGGAUUAGUGGCGAACGGGUGAGUAACACGUGGGCAAUCUGCCCUGCACUCUGGGACAAGCCCUGGAAACGGGGUCUAAUACCGGAUACUGACCUGCCGAGGCAUCUUGGCGGGUCGAAAGCUCCGGCGGUGCAGGAUGAGCCCGCGGCCUAUCAGCUUGUUGGUGAGGUAAUGGCUCACCAAGGCGACGACGGGUAGCCGGCCUGAGAGGGCGACCGGCCACACUGGGACUGAGACACGGUCCAGACUCCUACGGGAGGCAGCAGUGGGGAAUACUGCACAAUGGGCGCAAGCCUGAUGCAGCGACGCCGCGUGAGGGAUGACGACGUUCGGGUUGUAAACCUCUUUCAGCAGGGAAGAAGCGAAAGUGACGGUACCUGCAGAAGAAGCGCCGGCUAACUACGUGCCAGCAGCCGCGGUAAUACGUAGGGCGCAAGCGUUGUCCGGAAUUAUUGGGCGUAAAGAGCUCGUAGGCGGCUUGUCACGUCGGUUGUGAAAGCCCGGGGCUUAACCCCGGGUCUGCAGUCGAUACGGGCAGGCUAGAGUUCGGUAGGGGAGAUCGGAAUUCCUGGUGUAGCGGUGAAAUGCGCAGAUAUCAGGAGGAACACCGGUGGCGAAGGCGGAUCUCUGGGCCGAUACUGACGCUGAGGAGCGAAAGCGUGGGGAGCGAACAGGAUUAGAUACCCUGGUAGUCCACGCCGUAAACGGUGGGCACUAGGUGUGGGCAACAUUCCACGUUGUCCGUGCCGCAGCUAACGCAUUAAGUGCCCCGCCUGGGGAGUACGGCCGCAAGGCUAAAACUCAAAGGAAUUGACGGGGGCCCGCACAAGCGGCGGAGCAUGUGGCUUAAUUCGACGCAACGCGAAGAACCUUACCAAGGCUUGACAUACACCGGAAAGCAUCAGAGAUGGUGCCCCCCUUGUGGUCGGUGUACAGGUGGUGCAUGGCUGUCGUCAGCUCGUGUCGUGAGAUGUUGGGUUAAGUCCCGCAACGAGCGCAACCCUUGUCCCGUGUUGCCAGCAACUCUUCGGAGGUUGGGGACUCACGGGAGACCGCCGGGGUCAACUCGGAGGAAGGUGGGGACGACGUCAAGUCAUCAUGCCCCUUAUGUCUUGGGCUGCACACGUGCUACAAUGGCCGGUACAAUGAGCUGCGAUACCGCAAGGUGGAGCGAAUCUCAAAAAGCCGGUCUCAGUUCGGAUUGGGGUCUGCAACUCGACCCCAUGAAGUCGGAGUCGCUAGUAAUCGCAGAUCAGCAUUGCUGCGGUGAAUACGUUCCCGGGCCUUGUACACACCGCCCGUCACGUCACGAAAGUCGGUAACACCCGAAGCCGGUGGCCCAACCCCUUGUGGGAGGGAGCUUCGAAGGUG
rnacentral:rRNA from 1 species